rnacentral:SRP_RNA from 1 species
CAUGGGAGGCCCGGCGACGGAGGCCUCCGAACCAGGUCAGGUCGAAAGAAGCAGCCUUAAGGGGUCACCUUCGGGUGCUAGGGCCUUCCAUCGGG